UUUUUUUUUUCUCCUUCGCGAGGAAAUACGUCGUCGUUCGAAUUUGUUUCGACCUCCGGGGAGGUCGAGUGUGUGUAAUAGAUUCGAAGAUCGUGCAAAUAAGAAGAAGAAAAGAAUGGAAGAAUUGGAAAUGACCUUUUGUUUUCGAGGAGGAAGCGCGAUUUCUGUCCAGUUCCGAGCACGUAACGAAAUUUCUUCGAGGUCCUCUAAAUGGUUCGCGAAGAAACGGAAACGGAAGACGAAAACGAACGGCUGUUGACGUUGCGCGCAGAGAGAAAGAGAGAGAGAGAGAGAGAAAGGGAGAGAGAAAGAAAGAGAGAAAGAGAGAACACACCUGUUCGAGGCAAAACGCAACUUUAUUCUGUAAGCAGGAUGUAUUCGGUGCGAUUUCCGUGGAUCGACGUGGUGAAGAAUCCAUCGAGGUAUGAGAAGCAGAAAACAUUAAUAAUUACGUAGAUCUUUGAUGUUUUUCUUUUUUUUUUCUCUCUCUUCGUUUCUUUUUUUUUUUUAUUUUUCCUUUUUUCAAUUUACAAUAUGUAAUUAGAAUAUUCUUGUUUUAUACUCUUAGUAGUUAUUAACACUUUUUUUACAGAGAGUGGAUAAUGUUAUGGAGAACGAGGUUUCCAUAAUACAUUCGCGUUGAAUUGCAAAUCUUAAUUCUCAUUUCAAAUUUUAGCGAUGUUUAAAUAAUCGUAAAUCAUUAUGUGUUUUGCUGUUUGAUCGGGCUGUCGAGGUGUUGCAUCGAUAUUAUUCGCUUGUUUCCUCGCUCGUACCUAAUUUGAAAAAAAAAAAAAAGAAGAGAAAAAAAAAAGGGUGAGACUGAAUUGCAAAUAUUGCACAAUUCUCACGCAGCGAUUGUGCAAUCCGAGAACAGGUUUGCAAACUCGACGAACAAAUUACAAUAUCGCGUCUUUGAAUAUUCAACGCAACAAAUUACUUAGAAGUUAAAUGAAUUGAUUCCUAAAAAAAAAGAAAAAAAUGUAUAAUUACCAGGAAUCGACAAAAAAAAAAAAAAAAAAAGAAGAAAGAAUGCGUACUUUACUUUGCGAAGAAAUUCAUCAGAUUCCCAGGAACGAACAACCGUUGCUAAUGAAAAAAAAAAAAUCUUUCAUCGAAUGAUUAAUUACGAUGCAACAAAGUUCUCUAAAUUAUUGAAUCGUUAAAAAUUGAUUUUCUUUUUCUUUACUGUUUACAAUUUACUGUUUACAAUCUGGAAAAAAUUUUCUGGAAAGCAGAACAAAGUCACAACGAUAUUUCAUCUUUCCUCUAUUCUCGCGAUUGGUACGAAAACCAUUCUUGUCGUUGUAUCGAGUUGUGGAAACAUUCUGCGCAGGAUAAGCGCGAUGCGCUUUUUCACCGCGCAUCCUGACAACGAUAAUAUUUCUUUCCACGGUUUUCGGGGAAGAUAAAAAGAAAGAAAGAAAGAAAGAAAGAAGAAAGAAAGAAAAAAAGAAAGAAAAUUCGCGCGGAUAUUAAGAUUCCUGCGUGUAUUCGACGAAGAAAAAAAAAGAUAAUUACUUAAUUAUUAGGGUUAUUAGGGGAGAGAAUAAGAAGUGAGAACAAGGGCGUCGCAUGUACAAUAAUAAUUAUUUAGAUAUCUAUUAUAUACGUAUAUGUAUAUAUAUAAUAGUAUAUAUAUGCAUAUAUAUAUAUAUAUAUAUA